rnacentral:misc_RNA from 1 species
UCCGUAGGUGAACCUGCGGAAGGAUCAUUACCGAGUUAGGGUCUACCUCUAGGCCCGACCUCCUUACCUCUGUUUACCUGACCUCACGUUGCUUCGGCGGGCCCGUCCCCUUAACCAGGCGACCGCCGGAAGGGCUCACCCCUUCUGGCCCGUUGCCCGCCGAUGGCCCUCAACCAAAACACUUUUAAACUGUGGAAUUUUAGUCUGAAUCUUGUUUCUAAAAUAACCAAAAACUUUCAACAACGGAUCUCUUGGUUCUGGCAUCGAUGAAGAACGCAGCGAAAUGCGAUAAGUAAUGCGAAUUGCAGAGCCCGUGAGUCAUCGAAUCUUUGAACGCAUAUUGCGCCCCUUGGCAUUCCGAGGGGCAUGCCUGUUCGAGCGUCAUUAUCACCCCUCAAGCCCCCGGCUUGGUGUUGGACUCAGUCGUCGCUCGCCCGGUGACUGGUCUCGAAGACAGUGACGCCGUCCCAGAGGGAACCGGUACGAGGAGCUUUCUUAAUCGAAGCAUGUGCCGGGAAGACUUUCGCGGGCGGUGGUCUCUUACACCCACAAAUUUUUCAAGUGUUGACCUCGGAUCAGGUAGGAAUACCCGCUGAACUUAAGCAUAUCAAUAAGCGGAGGAAAAGAAACCAACAGGGAUUGCCUCAGUAACGGCGAGUGAAGCGGCAAAAGCUCAAAUUUGAAAUCUGGCUUCUUUGGAGCCCGAGUUGUAAUUUGUAGAGGACGUUUCGGGUACCGCAACGGCUUAAAUUUCUUGGAACAGAAUGUCAGAGAGGGUGAGAGUCCCGUCUGGAGCCGCGGUAGGGCCCAUGUGAAACUCCCUCGACGAGUCGAGUUGUUUGGGAAUGCAGCUCAAAAUGGGUGGUAAAUUUCAUCUAAAGCUAAAUAUUGGCCAGAGACCGAUAGCGCACAAGUAGAGUGAUCGAAAGAUGAAAAGAACUUUGAAAAGAGAGUUAAACAGUACGUGAAAUUGUUGAAAGGGAAGCGCUGGCAACCAGACUCGCGCGCGGCGGUUCCCCCUCGCUUCUGCUUGGGUUACUCCGUCGUGUCCGGGCCAACAUCGGUUUGGGCGGCCGGUUAAAGGCCCCGGGAAUGUAUCUUCUCCCCGUGGGAAGACUUAUAGCCCGGGGUGUCAUGCGGCCCGCCUGGACCGAGGAACGCGCUUCGUGCUCGGAUGUUGGCGUAAUGGUUGUCAGCGACCCGUCUUGAAACACGGACCAAGGAGUCUAACAUCUAUGCGAGUGUUAGGGUGUCAAACCCUUGCGCGGAAUGAAAGUGAACGGAGGUAGGAAGCCCUGAGGCUGCACUAUCGACCGAUCCUGAAGUUUACGGAUGGAUUUGAGUAAGAGCAUAGCUGUUGGGACCCGAAAGAUG